CCUACGGGUGGCAGCAGUGAGGAAUAUUGGUCAAUGGGCGGGAGCCUGAACCAGCCAAGUCGCGUGAGGGACGACGGUCCUAUGGAUUGUAAACCUCUUUUGUCGGGGAACAAAGGCGCCCACGGGUGGGCGGAUGAGUGUACCCGAAGAAAAAGCAUCGGCUAACUCCAUGCCAGCAGCCGCGGUAAUACGGAGGAUGCGAGCGUUAUCCGGAUUUAUUGGGUUUAAAGGGUGCGUAGGCGGACAGUCAAGUCAGCGGUAAUAAUGCGGUGCUCAACCCCGGGGCUGCCGUUGAAACCGGAGCGCUAGAAUUCCGAUGCCGUCGGAGGAAUGUGUGGUGUAGCGGUGAAAUGCAUAGAUAUCACACAGAACACCGAUUGCGAAGGCAUCUGACGAAUCGGAGAUUGACGCUGAUGCACGAAAGCGUGGGUAUCGAACAGGAUUAGAUACCCCAGUAGUC
rnacentral:rRNA from 1 species